rnacentral:rRNA from 1 species
CUACGGGCGGCAGCAGUGAGGAAUAUUGCACAAUGGGGGGAACCCUGAUGCAGCAACGCCGCGUGGAGAAUGACGCAUUUCGGUGUGUAAACUCCUUUUAUAUGUCAAGAAAAUGACGGUAGCAUAUGAAUAAGCACCGGCUAACUCCGUGCCAGCAGCCGCGGUAAUACGGAGGGUGCAAGCGUUACUCGGAAUCACUGGGCGUAAAGGACGCGUAGGCGGGUUGGAAAGUCAGGUGUGAAAUCCUACAGCUUAACUGUAGAACUGCACUUGAAACUUCUAAUCUAGAGUAUGGGAGGGGGAGAUGGAAUUAGUGGUGUAGGGGUAAAAUCCGUAGAUAUCACUAGGAAUACCUAAAGCGAAGGCGAUCUCCUGGAACAUUACUGACGCUAAGGCGUGAAAGCGUGGGGAGCAAACAGGAUUAGAUACCCCGGUAGUC